rnacentral:rRNA from 1 species
UACGAAGGGGGCUAGCGUUGUUCGGAAUUACUGGGCGUAAAGGGCGCGUAGGCGGUGUGUCAAGUCAGGCGUGAAAUCCCCAGGCUCAACCUGGGAACUGCGUCCGAUACUGGCAGGCUUGAAUCCGGGAGAGGGAUGUGGAAUUCCAGGUGUAGCGGUGAAAUGCGUAGAUAUCCGGAAGAACACCUGAGGCGAAGGCGGCUUGCUGGGCAUGAUCUGACGCUGAGGCGCGAAAGCGUGGGGAGCAAACAGG